GACGAACGCUGGCGGCGUGCUUAACACAUGCAAGUCGAACGAAACGUCCGGGCCUUGUGGCGCAGCGGUACGUGCGAACGGGUGAGUAACACUUGAGUUACCUACACCUCCCUGUGGGGGAACUUCAUGAAGCUGAGUCUAAUACCGGAUAGGAUCUCCUGCUUCAGGGUGGGCGUGCGAUAGUUUCGCCGGUUGGGGAUGGAAUCGCCGCUUAUGAGCUUGUUGGUGGGGUAGUGGCUUACCAAGGCUUUGACCGGUAGCAGGCCUGAGAGGGUGACCGGCCCCACUGGGCCUGAGAUGAGGCCCAGACUAGUACGGGAGGCAGCGGAGCAGAAUAUUGCAUAAUGGGCGGGAGCAUGAUGCAGCAAAGCAGCGUGGGGGAUGAGGGCCUUCGGGUUGUAAAGCGAAUUCGCCUGUGACGAAGCGUGAGUGACGGUAACGGGUGAAGAAGCACCGGCUAACUACGUG
rnacentral:rRNA from 1 species